AUUGAACGCUGGCGGCAUGCUUUACACAUGCAAGUCGAACGGCAGCGCGCGCUUCUUCCUGGCUGCGAGUGGCGCACGGGUGAGUAAUGCAUCGGAACAUGCCCCGUUGUGCGGGAUAGCCCGGCGAAAGCCCUAUUACUACCGCAUGCUACGUGAGGCUGAAUGCUGGUGGCCGAUAGGCAUCGCGCGCUUGGAGCGGCCGAGGCCGGGUUAGCUAGCUGGUGGGGUAAGGACUUACCUAGGCGACGAUCCGUGGCUGGACUGAGAGAGCGACUGACCACCCGGGAACUGAGACACGGCCCAGACUCCUGAGAGACGCAGCAGAGGGGAAUGUGAGGCAAUGGGGGCAAAUCUGAUACAGCCGGGCCGCGUGUGGGGAAAAGGCCUUCGGGUUGUAAACCGCGUUUGCUGGGGAAGAAACCCUCUGGGCUAAUACGCCGGGGGAAUGACGGUAACGGAUAAAGAAGCACCGGCUAACUACGUG
rnacentral:rRNA from 1 species